GUUGUGGUGAGGGUAGUGGGUAAAGAAGCGCCGGCUAACUACGUGCCAGCAGCCGCGGUAAUACGUAGGGCGCGAGCGUUGUCCGGAAUUAUUGGGCGUAAAGAGCUCGUAGGCGGCUGGUCGCGUCUGUCGUGAAAUCCUCUGGCUUAACUGGGGGCUUGCGGUGGGUACGGGCCGGCUUGAGUGCGGUAGGGGAGACUGGAACUCCUGGUGUAGCGGUGGAAUGCGCAGAUAUCAGGAAGAACACCGGUGGCGAAGGCGGGUCUCUGGGCCGUUACUGACGCUGAGGAGCGAAAGCGUGGGGAGCGAACAGGAUUAGAUACCCUGGUAGUCCACGCCGUAAACGUUGGGCACUAGGUGUGGGGGGCCUUUUCCGGGUCUUCCGCGCCGUAGCUAACGCAUUAAGUGCCCCGCCUGGGGAGUACGGCCGCAAGGCUAAAACUCAAAGGAAUUGACGGGGGCCCGCACAAGCGGCGGAGCAUGCGGAUUAAUUCGAUGCAACGCGAAGAACCUUACCAAGGCUUGACAUAUACUGGACCGCAUCAGAGAUGGUGUUUCCCUUCGGGGCUGGUAUACAGGUGGUGCAUGGUUGUCGUCAGCUCGUGUCGUGAGAUGUUGGGUUAAGUCCCGCAACGAGCGCAACCCUUGUCCCGUGUUGCCAGCACGUUGUGGUGGGGACUCGCGGGAGACUGCCGGGGUCAACUCGGAGGAAGGUGGGGAUGACGUCAAAUCAUCAUGCCCCUUAUGUCUUGGGCUUCACGCAUGCUACAAUGGCCGGUACAGAGGGUUGCGAUACUGUGAGGUGGAGCUAAUCCCU
rnacentral:rRNA from 1 species